UUGGUUUUUAAAAAAAAAAAAAAAAAAUUUUUUUUUUUUUUUAAUAAAGAGAAUUGUGUUCAAUAUAUAAAUUGAGAUUUUUUUUCAAAGAGAAUUCUGCGAGGUUUUCUGUUUGUUUUUUGGCCUUUUCCUUUCCUGCUUCUAGAGGAAGGCUCUAGCAAUAAGGGCAAUAUGCAGCAGUGUCCUGGGAAUUAAAGGUUCGCUCUACGGGUCCCUGCGCCGUUCGAGAGCUAUACUAAGGCCACAGGACACAGAUGAAAGCCAUUUCCUCGGGAGUUGCUUUUCUGCCAUGCUUACAGACUCUCCGUGCUUUCCCUUAGUCCUGCUUGAAUAAACUGUCGAUGUGAAAUGAUUGCCUUGGUUAUAACCACACAUGAUAAUGGGUUAGUUUGCCUAAGCCUGUGUUUAGACAAGUUCAAGACAAGCAUGUCUAAGAAGAAGCAUUUGAAAAUGAAGGCAACAAGAUCCUGCUUCAACAACUUUUAUAAACGGCGGAAGAGAGCCACGUUGCUAGUUCAUCUCUAGGAUCCGAUCACCUUACUGAACUGACAUAGUAACAAACACCCGUUUGUGCUCUCACGGUUGUAGAAGGAGCUCGUGUCAAGUGGUCGUCACUGAUGAGGAGAUGGUGCUCGACCCGGACAUUUGCAGUACACUGAGGGUUAGUAGAGCGAUAAUACUGCUGGAAAAUAACUAAAUUCAUAAUUAAAUGAACCAGUUUGUUUUUCCGUGCAUGUACUUUUAAAAGUUCUUUUGGUUCAUUGAAAUUGUUUUCUCUAAUUCAGGGUUUGUUAGAUUUUUUUUUUAAUUUGGCUUUUCUAAAAAUGAACCUCAGGGCUUUUGUGAUCCUCCCAGAAAUAAGAUGCAAAAAUGUGUGUGAGAGAGUGCACACAUACAGAAGCACAUCUUUCCGUGGAGGAGGUCAGUAGUUUUCAACAAAUCCUUGGAGGGAGCCUUGACCAAAAAAAAA